CUGCCGACGACUAUCAGUGGCCUACCAAAAAAGCCAUCCUUGCAUAUGAGGAGACUACUUAGUUCUGUACUUGUUGCUUCUUCUUUCGCGUUCAUCUCCGCUACUCCAUCAUCCUGCUGCUUGCGAGUGUUAUUAAUCUCAUCUCGCCUGUUGAUUAAUGCCUCCCGACCCUUUCUCCCUUGUAUUCUCUAUUAUUUACUAUGUUGUCCAUUGACCUGCUAAUCUUCUGUCUUUUAUACUCCUGGCAGUAGCUCUUAUUUCCUAUAUCUUGAGCAUAGUUGGUGCUGAUUUAUUGCUGCUGCUCGGUGCGCUGUGCGUCCGUGCCCUAUAUACUGUCUCCUGCUCCAUCAGCACCCUGCACCCUGACACUUGACACCUGACACCUGACACCUGACGCCUGUCACCUGACACCUGACAUCCCUUUUGUUUCUCGCACUACACAUAAAAUGUACCGAUGAACUGCAUAUAUGUGAAGAUAGCGACUGAAGGACUCUUUUCGCAAAAUGGAUUAUCGACCGU
rnacentral:sRNA from 1 species